rnacentral:rRNA from 1 species
UGGGGAAUAUUGGACAAUGGGGGCAAGCCUGAUCCAGCCAUGCCGCGUGAGUGAAGAAGGCCUUCGGGUUGUAAAGCUCUUUUACCAGGGACGAUAAUGACGGUACCUGGAGAAUAAGCCCCGGCAAACUUCGUGCCAGCAGCCGCGGUAAUACGAAGGGGGCUAGCGUUGUUCGGAAUUACUGGGCGUAAAGCGCACGUAGGCGGAUUGUUAAGUCAGAGGUGAAAUCCCGGAGCUCAACUUCGGAACUGCCUUUGAUACUGGCAAUCUAGAGUCCGGAAGAGGUUAGUGGAAUUCCCAGUGUAGAGGUGAAAUUCGUAGAUAUUGGGAAGAACACCAGUGGCGAAGGCGGCUAACUGGUCCGGUACUGACGCUGAGGUGCGAAAGCGUGGGGAGCAAACAGGAUUAGAUACCCCCGUAGUCCCUGAGCGGGCUGGCAAGGCGCAU